rnacentral:lncRNA from 1 species
CAGGACCCCAGGAACCCUGUCUGCCCUGCAGCCCGCUCGCUCCCUGUGAGCGACUCGGUCCUGAGUGGGUUUGAGCAGCGGGUCCAGGAGGCCCACCUGACUGAGGACCAGAUCUUCUACUUCCCCAAGUACGGCUUCUGCGAGGCUGCAGACCAGUUCCACGUCCUGGACGGUGAGUGCACAGCGGGGCAAGCAUGGCGGCGUGGUGAGGGGGGCCACUGCCACCGGCUGAGUCUCGUCUCUGCUGCAGAAGUGAGGAGGUGAGGCCGGCACACAGCUCCAGUGCUGAGAAGUCAGUGCCCCGAGAGACGACCCCACCAGUGGGGUGCCCGCUGCCUGUCCUCCGUGAAACCAGCCUCAGAUCAGGGCCCUGCCACCCAGGGCAGGGGAUCUUCUGCCGGCUGCCCCAGAGGACAGUGGGUGGAGUGGUACCUACUUAUUAAAUGUCUCAGACCCC